ACGAACGCUGGCGGCGUGCUUAACACAUGCAAGUCGAACGGAAAGGCCCUGCUUUUGUGGGGUGCUCGAGUGGCGAACGGGUGAGUAACACGUGAGUAACCUGCCCUUGACUUUGGGAUAACUUCAGGAAACUGGGGCUAAUACCGGAUAGGAGCUCCUGCUGCAUGGUGGGGGUUGGAAAGUUUCGGCGGUUGGGGAUGGACUCGCGGCUUAUCAGCUUGUUGGUGGGGUAGUGGCUUACCAAGGCUUUGACGGGUAGCCGGCCUGAGAGGGUGACCGGCAAAAUGGGGAAAGAGAACAGGCCGAGACGCAGACGGGGGGAAGAGGGGGGGAAUAUGGAAAAGGGGGGGGAGGCUGAAGGCAGCAACCCCGGGUGGGGGAGGGGGACUUUGGGUUUGAAAACCUGUUUCGCCUGUGAAGAGGGGGGAGGGAGGAUAAGGGAAAAAAAAAAACGGGAAAACUACGUG
rnacentral:rRNA from 1 species